GAUGAACGCUGGCGGCGUGCCUAACACAUGCAAGUCGAGCGAUUUACUUCGGUAAAGAGCGGCGGACGGGUGAGUAACGCGUGGGUAACCUGCCCUGUACACACGGAUAACAUACCGAAAGGUAUGCUAAUACGAGAUAACAUGAGAAAGUCGCAUGGCUUUCUUAUCAAAGCUCUGGCGGUACAGGAUGGACCCGCGUCUGAUUAGCUAGUUGGUAAGGUAACGGCUUACCAAGGCGACGAUCAGUAGCCGACCUGAGAGGGUGAUCGGCCACAUUGGAACUGAGACACGGUCCAAACUCCUACGGGAGGCAGCAGUGGGGAAUAUUGCACAAUGGGCGAAAGCCUGAUGCAGCAACGCUGCGUGAGCGAUGAAGGCCUUGGUCGUAAAGCUCUGUCCUCAAGGAAGAUAAUGACGGUACUUGAGGAGGAAGCCCCGGCGUAACUACGUGCCAGCCAGCCGCGGUAAACUCGUCUCUA
rnacentral:rRNA from 1 species